UCUGGUGAAUGCGCUCUGAAUUUGCAAUUUUAACUUAGUCGAGCCAGUAACAGCUUGUUUUAUUUAAAAUAUUGUGUUAUUGGUGCGGUUCAUAAAAUUUUCAGUCUGUUAAGAAAAGAGAUGUUUUAGUUGAGUGCCUAAUUUCCGAUGAUUGGUUCAAGGAUUGUGAAAGAAUAACGUAUUCGUUUAUUAAAAUUAUUUCCGAAUUAUAAAGUUCGAGCUAAUUCUGAUUUUAUAAAAAAGAAUUUGACUUAAAAAAUACACAAAGAUUCGAGGCCGUCUUCGUAAAAGAGUUCUACGAACAACCGCUACGGUGAUCUAACCGUUUACGAAGCUUGAAGUCGCGAUGCCGGCUACAGUAGAAGAUGAAGCGCCCAACAUCAUCAUCAAAGGCACGGCGCAAUGCGCGAAGUUGCUCUCGCAUAUUCGAAACAUCACCGACUCGACUCAACUCGUAGAGGGACCGACUGAAAUCCGUCAGUACCUCGGACUUUGGCUGAACCUCCCCUGACAAACUGACGUCAUGAGGCUCUGAAGAGGCAAGCUCCGCAUCAUGUGGGGUCCACGACAACGGCGUACAUAACGGCAUCAUCUGACCAGGGCGACUUUACCGACGACAGCUUCUAAUACAUUAAUGUGUGUUUAUUUAAUAUUUGACAUUAUUAUAUAAUCUUCAUAGAUAAUAUCACUGAUAUAAGUGCGCACUUAUGCAUAACGAAUAUAAUAUUUUUCGCCACGUGUUUUUGGUAAAGGGACGGAGACUAUCGUACAUCAAAGUGCUUCGCGGUAGUAUUUGUUUACGAGGAAUAUACAUCUUCUGUUUGGGCUUGCUGUAAAGUUCACGAUCACGAAAAGUUUUGCCUUAUUGGGAAAAAGUUGGAUGCUCUACCUGUACGCAAAUACCUUAGACGCAGAGUGGAUCGUCUGGAUGUCAAAUUUGAAAAAUUCGAUGUUAUCACUAGUUCCCCACUAGUGAUAAAUGGAGGCAUAGGAGUAUAUAUAGUAUAAGGAUGUAAUAGGCAGGUUUCAUGCGAACGGUAACAGAUUGAUUAUUUUUAAAAUGAAAAGUAGACAUAGACGGGAGACAGAAGGUAAUAUAAUUGACGCCUUGACUUCUUAACGUUUUAAACUUUUGUUAACAACUUCUCAUACAAUAACAAUGUAAUGAUAUAAUUUUAACAAUAGACAAAAUUAUAGAAAAAUACCAUGACAACAUUAGCAAAAUUUCAAUAUAGCAUUAAUAUUGCAACUUUGAUCGACAUAGAUGCGCAUUUAUGAAUAAUUAAGUAUUUAUACUUUCCCCUGUGUGAAUUUGAAGGUACUUGAUGUUAUGGGAACAGUCACACAGGUGAAGGUUUUAAUUAAUCAAUUACAUUAUUAGUAUAGAAUAUAGAUGCUUACGUUCUCACAGUCGAAAGAAACGGUUGAGAGUCACUUUACACCACAUUCAGAUCGGACCUAAAGAAUUGCAACAAUUGGACAUUGACGGGAAAAUUCAACACAACAAAGAGAUUAGCAUACUUUCUCCGAUUCUUUCGAUACGUGUUAAUGCUAUUCGCCACAUUUCAGAGGAAAUGUCUUAGGGAAGGGUUUUGGAAAUACAUUUUCAGAGAAUGGCAUAUAUACUCUUGAAUGGACUAGAUGUUGUGAUGGCGUUUUGGAUCGCGAUGUUGAGACGGCGCAAGUUUGCUGCAGUUGAGAAUAUCUGUCGGAUCAACUUUAUUAUUCUUACACGAUCGCGGUCAAGCCCUUAUAUUAACAGCUUGGAUGUUCGGAAACUGUUUUAUUGACGCCAAAUGUGACGUUAAAUUUACCGAUUGAGACGACUGACGAGACUGUGUUAUUUACUUUGGCCAAUCGAGUUGGAGUAAAUAGCAUGGCGCUUGUCUUCCCGGACUUGAC